UCGAAACCUGCAAGAGCAGAAAGACCCGCGAACCCGUUUACAAACACCGGGGGGACGAUGUUCGGCAAAAAACCGACGCCGUCCCCCGAGAUCGGCGAGAGCCCGCCUCCCUGCGAGUCGGGCUCCUCCCGGCACCAACAAACCCCGGCGCGGAUUGCGCCAAGGACCAUGAACAAUAGCGCGUCCCAUGCCACUCGGUUGCCCGAAGUGCGCGUGGGGCGACGUGUCGUUUCGAUACAUU
rnacentral:misc_RNA from 1 species